CGCCGCCCUCUUUCCACUUCUCCUCACCCACGCCGCCAUCUCUCCACUUCUCCUCUGCUUCCACCUCCUAAUCCAUCCCAAUCCAUCUAAUGGGAUCCCUCCAACCCGCUGGCCACUGAUGUGCAUCACCUCAAUCAGAUGAACAAAGAUCCAUUGGUUUGGUGGGCGGUCUGACGGAGACUUGGCGGGCGGGCGGGCGAUUGGAGGCCGUGGAGGUUGGGGGACAGAGACCGGCCGGCGUGUGCAUUGGGGCCAACGGCGGCGAUUGGGCGGGAAGGUCGGAGGAAGUCUUCUGCAACGAGCAAUUUCGUCUUCAGCUUACAGAUUAACAAUGGCAAGGAUACCAAGACGACUACGGGACUUGGACCUUACAAUGCAUGAUCCAGAACAUGUGCAGCUUGGUGAAGAAAAUCUGCAAGGUCCUCCAGAGAUUGAUAAUAUAGUACCAGGAAGAUCUCAUGAAUCCACUAGCCAAAUCAAGAUAAUUUGUAAGUCUCGAUGUGCAGGAGCCACGAACUACUAUGCAGGAGCUGCAACAAACCAAAUCAAAAGAGGGUUGUGGCAGUGCGCCUUUACCACAUGAACAUGUGAUCACUAAGAAUGCCCAUGCUGAAAAUAAUCUUCUCGUGCAGCAAGGCGGUCCUGAACCAAGUUUAUGACUUCAAGCCGCUAAGCAGAAUGAUCAUGCUCAAAAUAGCAAUGCAACCAAGCCAUGUGGUCAUCACCAAGUCACUAAGCAGGUAAAAAUAGUUAAGCCAACUCCUCCAGCACAACCACAAAGCAUUGGGUGGUGAGGAAUUGAAAAGUGAGUGCAUUAAAGGAGCUAGGAGUGGCUAGUUAGUUGAGGACUUGAAAAGGGAGUGCACUGGAGGAGUCAGGAGCAGUUGAUGAAUCUAUCUUUGAAUGAACAAAUAUUCUGGAUUAUGUAUAGAUUUUAGCUUCAUAGAGAAAAAUAGUUCCAGUCUAUAGGAUCUUUUCUUAUUUAUUUUCAACAUUGCAUGUUUCAUAUGAAUGUUUGAUAUUAUUCAGCUGUGAACUCCACGUACUUUUAGUGGAGACAUUGUUCGUGCUAAAUGCAUUGGAUGUUGUUACC